rnacentral:rRNA from 1 species
AGCGAACGCUGGCGGCAGGCUUAACGCAUGCAAGUCGAGCGGGCCCUUCGGGGUCAGCGGCGGACGGGUGAGUAACGCGUGGGAACGAGCCCUCUGGUCUGGAAUAACCCUGGGAAACUAGGGCUAAUACCGGAUACGCCCUUUUGGGGAAAGGCUUGCUGCCGGAGGAUCGGCCCGCGUCUGAUUAGCUAGUUGGUGGAGUAACGGCCUACCAAGGCGACGAUCAGUAGCUGGUCUGAGAGGAUGAUCAGCCACACUGGGACUGAGACACGGCCCAGACUCCUACGGGAGGCAGCAGUGGGGAAUAUUGGACAAUGGGCGCAAGCCUGAUCCAGCCAUGCCGCGUGAGUGAUGAAGGCCUUAGGGUUGUAAAGCUCUUUUAUCCGGGACGAUAAUGACGGUACCGGAGGAAUAAGCCCCGGCUAACUUCGUGCCAGCAGCCGCAGUAA